rnacentral:RNase_P_RNA from 1 species
AGUUGGUCGGAUGGUCGCUCGCCGGUUAUUUUGGCGGGAGGAAAGUCCGGGCUCCAUCGAGCAGGGUGGUCGCUAACGGCGACGCGGGGUGACCCGACGGAAAGUGCCACAGAAAAUACACGGCCCGCCUCAGGCGGGCAAAGGUGAAAAGGCGAGGUAAGAGCUCACCGCUCUCCUGGUGACAGGGGAGGCAAGGUAAACCCCACCCGGAGCAAGGCCAAAUAGGAGGGGAGUUCCGCCCGCCUCGCAUAGGGGCAAGGUGGACAGGGGGUGGCUCAUCCCCUUUGACCUUCGGGUUGGCUGCUUGAUCCGUCAGAGCAAUCCGGCGGACAGAUAGAUGACCAUCGAAUACAGAACCCGGCUUAUGACCA